UACGUAGGGUGCGGGCGUUAAUCGGAAUUACUGGGCGUAAAGCGUGCGCAGGCGGCUUCGCAAGUCAGGCGUGAAAUCCCCGGGCUUAACCUGGGAAUGGCGUCUGAAACUACGGAGCUGGAGUGUGGCAGAGGGAGGUAGAAUUCCACGUGUAGCGGUGAAAUGCGUAGAUAUGUGGAGGAAUACCGAUGGCGAAGGCAGCCUCCUGGGCCAACACUGACGCUCAUGCACGAAAGCGUGGGGAGCAAACGGG
rnacentral:rRNA from 1 species